GAUGAAAUCAGCAGCCCAGCUGAGGUGCAUGGAUAGCAGUGCACACAGCAUGGGUAACAAACAGCAAGAGCUGGAGGCCAUGGUCCAGCAGCAGAGCUGUGAUGUCAUUGCCAUCACAGAAACGUGGUGGGAUGCCUCACAUGGCUGGAGCACUACACUGGAUGGCUACAAGCUCUUCAGGAGAGACAGGAAAGGGAGAAGAGGUGAAGCUGAACCUGCUGGUGAAGGUGGUGCAGCUUCCCAAGCCACAUCCAGGACUGAGGCUCUGGGAGAUGCUGAGGUGGUGGACCAAACAUCUGUGCAGAAGGAGGCACAUCCUGGAGGAAGCAUUUCCCCAUGGACAGCCCCUGCUGCAGGAAGGAAGGCGAUGCCAGACACGGGCACGGGCACAGCAG